AUCACAUCUAGCUUCUAUUCUUAAUACAUGAUCUCAUGUUACUGUAAAUACUUAAUACUAAACUAAAAUAUCACACAAAUUAAAAGAAUAAUCAUUAUAAUGAUCACGGAUUCAUCAGAAUAAAAAAGAAUUGUUCCUGGACCCAAAUGUUUCAAAGAAAAACAAUUUUCCGCGUGAUAUCCACAAAUGUAUAGAUGUUCCUAAAACUAGAUAUUAGCAAUAAAAGUUUAAGUUAUAUCCCAUAUACAAUAUUUAGUUGUAUCUCAACUUGCUGGUGGCAAAAGACAUUUAGUUUUUCCACAUUUUAUUUCAAAACAAUCCACCAGCUCCAACGAUAACUUGCAUGGGCGAAGCUCGCAAAGCUUUAUCGACGAUAGUUUUUGAUGAAUACUUCGGCGGCGUUUUGUUGCUUCGUUCUUUAGCAAGCUCGUAAACUUGAGUAAAAAAUGAUCCCAAUGCUAACACCACACCUCCAGUGAAAACAGUUGUACCAAAAGCACUCAUUGGAUGAAAGAUAAACUUAAACUGUAUCCUUAUUUAUACUGGAUAAACCGUUUAACACAGUAACUCUUCAAGUAUAACACUUUCAUAACCGCGUCAAAGCGUC